GAUGAACGCUGGCGGCGUGCCUAAUACAUGCAAGUCGAGCGAACAGACGAGGAGCUUGCUCCUCUGACGUUAGCGGCGGACGGGUGAGUAACACGUGGAUAACCUACCUAUAAGACUGGGAUAACUUCGGGAAACCUGAGCUAAUACCGGAUAAUAUAUUGAACCGCAUGGUUCAAUAGUGAAAGACGGUUUUGCUGUGACUUAUAGGUGGACCCGCGCGGCAUUAGCUAGUUGGUAAGGUAACGGCUAACCAAGGCAACGAUGCGUAGCCGACCUGAGAGGUGGACAGGCCCACCUGGAACUGAGCCACGGCCCAGACCCCUACGGGAGGCAGAAGUAGGAAAUCUUCCGCAAGGGGCGAAAGCCUGACGGAGCAACGCCGCGGGAGUGAUGAAGGUCUUCGGAUCGUAAAACCCUGUUAUUAGGGAAGAACAAAGGUGUAAGUAACCAUGCUCGUCUGAACGGAACCAAAGCAGAAAGCCCCGGCAAACUCCGG
rnacentral:rRNA from 1 species